UACGGAAGGUCCUAGCGUUGUUCGGAAUUACUGGGCGUAAAGCGCAUGUAGGCGGAACAAAAAGUUAGAAGUGAAAUCCCUGGGCUCAACCUAGGAAUUGCUUUUAAAACUUUUGUUCUGGAAUUCAGGAGAGGAAAGUGGAAUUUCCAGUGUAGAGGUGAAAUUCGUAGAUAUUGGAAGGAACACCAGUGGCGAAGGCGACUUUCUGGACUGAUAUUGACGCUGAGAUGCGAAGGCAUGGGUAGCAAACGGGAUUAGAUACCCCGGUAGUCCAUGCAGUAAACGAUGGGUGCUAGUCGUCGGACUUUUGUUCGGUGUCGUAGCUAACGCGUUAAGCACCCCGCCUGGGGAGUACGGUCGCAAGAUUAAAACUCAAAGGAAUUGACGGGGCCCCGCACAAGCAGCGGAGCAUGCGGCUUAAUUCGACGCAACGCGAAGAACCUUACCAAGGCUUGACAUAUAGCGAAAAGUGGCAGAGAUGUCAUGUCCGCAAGGGCGCUAUACAGGUGGUACAUGGUUGUCGUCAGCUCGUGUCGUGAGAUGUUGGGUUAAGUCCCGCAACGAGCGCAACCCUCGUUCUGUGUUACCAGCAUUCAGUUGGGGACUCACAGGAGACUGCCGGGGUCAACUCGGAGGAAGGUGGGGAUGACGUCAAAUCAUCAUGCCCCUUAUGUCUUGGGCUGCACGCAUGCUACAAUGGCCGGUACAAAGUGCUGCGAAAUCGUAAGAUUUAGCGAAUCACAUAAAGCCGGUCUCAGUUCGGAUUGAGGUCUGCAACUCGACCUCAUGAAGUCGGAGUUGCUAGUAAUCGUAGAUCAGCAACGCUACGGUGAAUACGUUCCCGGGGCU
rnacentral:rRNA from 1 species